rnacentral:rRNA from 1 species
ACUCCUGCGGGAGGCAGCAGUGGGGAAUAUUGGACAAUGGGCGCAAGCCUGAUCCAGCCAUGCCGCGUGAGUGAUGAAGGCCCUAGGGUUGUAAAGCUCUUUCACCGGUGAAGAUAAUGACGGUAACCGGAGAAGAAGCCCCGGCUAACUUCGUGCCAGCAGCCGCGGUAAUACGAAGGGGGCUAGCGUUGUUCGGAUUUACUGGGCGUAAAGCGCACGUAGGCGGACUAUUAAGUCAGGGGUGAAAUCCCGGGGCUCAACCCCGGAACUGCCUUUGAUACUGGUAGUCUUGAGUUCGAGAGAGGUGAGUGGAAUUCCGAGUGUAGAGGUGAAAUUCGUAGAUAUUCGGAGGAACACCAGUGGCGAAGGCAGCUCACUGGCUCGAUACUGACGCUGAGGUGCGAAAGCGUGGGGAGCAAACAGGAUUAGAAACCCGGGUAGUCCCA